rnacentral:tRNA from 1 species
GCCAGGGUAGCUCAGAGGUAGAGCUCCGGACUGAAAAUCCGGGAGUCGGCGGUUCGAUUCCGCCCCCUGGCA